rnacentral:rRNA from 1 species
GUGAAGACCGUCCCAGGAGACGGGGGACGCAGUGGGGGGCAUGCGUUGUCCGGAAGCCCUGGGGGUAAAGCGCGAGCAGGCGGCUAUCGACGGCCGGGGUGAAAGCCCAGAGCUCAACUCUGUGACUGCCUUGGAUACGGGAUAGCUUGAGGAUCGGAGAGGCAAGGGGAAUUCCACGUGUAGCGGUGAAAUGCGUAGAGAUGUGGAGGAACACCUGUGGCGAAGGCGCCUUGCUGGCCGAUUUCUGACGCUGAGGCGCGAAAGCGUGGGGAGCAAACAGGAUUAGAUACCCGGGUAGUC